CUGUUAUGGAAGAUAAAAAAGAAGAAAUUAUCAAAUGUUUGGAAAAAGCUACAGAGCUGUUUAAAGGUCUCAGACGAAUGCAAAGUUCUCAAACUGAAGCAGCUGCGGCACCAAUGCCACCAUGUUUUCGUUAUUCACCACAGUGACUGCCAGUUAACAACCAUAGAAAUGCGCAGAGUGUUAGAAACCUGUUCCAGCCUUAUAACAGCAGAAAUUUUACAAGCCGCUGGACACAUAAAAUUCUGUGUUUUUGGAGCAACGAUAGUGUAUUUUGUCAUUUCUUCAUUCCCUUAUGUUGGGGACACAAAUGUCCACUGGUAUCCAUUCACAGCCCAAGAUACUGGUUAGAAUUUGACUGAUGCUUAAAAGCAACUCUUCCUCUUUUGGAACUUCAGCAAAGGGGUCAAUGCAUGUAGUUGUGAUUUUCUUACCUGCAGAAUAUGUUUAAAUAUAUGUAGUGAAAAUACAUUGAAUUCACAAUAUACAUGUAACAAGCUAAUUUCAGAUUAUUGAGCCCUACAUUUGUGUUUGAUCUAAAAAUAUAUUGAAUGUAAUGUUUGAAAUUAGUAUGUUACUUUUCUUGUGAGAUUGCUGCAUGUCCAUUACAGAAAAAUGAUGUUGAGACUUUAGUUAAAAGACUCUUUGAUAGCUUAUUUUUUUCUACAACUUGUACAUUUAGUCUGCU